rnacentral:misc_RNA from 1 species
GCAGAAGGAUCAUUAGUGAAAGUUUCGGGCCUGCCAUACGGACGCAAACACGUCUCUGGCGCCCAUCACUAUAUCCAUACCAACCCCUGUGCACUGUGAUGACGAAUGUCAUCGAACAAAAAGAAACUCGUAUGGUUGAAUGUACGUGAAAUUGUAGGCAUAGCCUACGAACUAUACACAACUUUCGACAACGGAUCUCUUGGUUCUCCCA